CAGUCGCCGCGGUAAUACGAAGGGUGCAAGCGUUACUCGGAAUUACUGGGCGUAAAGCGUGCGUAGGUGGUGGUUUAAGUCCGUUGUGAAAGCCCUGGGCUCAACCUGGGAAUUGCAGUGGAUACUGGGUCACUAGAGUGUGGUAGAGGAUAGUGGAAUUUCCGGUGUAGCAGUGAAAUGCGUAGAGAUCGGAAGGAACAUCUGUGGCGAAGGCGGCCAUCUGGGACAACACUGACGCUGAAGCGCGAAAGCGUGGGGAGCAAACAGGAUUAGAUACCCCCGUAGUCUCUGUCUCUUAUAC
rnacentral:rRNA from 1 species